CAGCUGUUAUCGAAGCUUCAUAUAUCUAUUGUAAUGCUUUAAAAAUUUAAAAUCUGUAGUAAAUAAGCAAAACAAAAAUGGAUUAUUCUUUAGAGGACGGUAAAUGGAGUGAUCCUUUCGAUGAACUUUUGGACUCUAGAACGAAACUACGUAAAAUGAAUAUUGUAACACAAUCUGUUAGAGUACCCCAUAACAUUGACUCCAGUGUUGAAAAUAGCAGCUUCAUAGAAGUAAAGGAACCCAUUCACGAAGACGAAUCUUUGACUUGUGAAGAUUGCUUUAUAAAAGUGCAUUGUCCCAGUGAUUCUAUAUCAACUCCUUGCGACAAACGAUUAGGCGCAGUAUUAUUUAAUUGCGGCCUCUCUCCAAUUACUCGCUUGAAACUUGAAGGUUUUAAAGGCAGCGGUGGCACUGAUACUAAAGACGCAAAUAUAAAUGUAAAUGUUGAAAAUCCAUUUCUAAACAUAAAUGCCAGCCCAAAUAAAUGUUCUAAUUUCGGGAAAAGACAGUUAAGUAAAUCAUAUAAGAUGGUUACUGUUGUGCACCCUUCUUCGAUUGUAUUACAACCGGGAAAGUGGCGAAAAUCGCUGAACAAUUUUAUCCGAACUAAAAUAACUGAAAUAAAUUUCAACAAAGAAGUAGAACGAAGCUCAAUAUGUCAGGAUCGAAAGUCAUUAGUUUUAAAAGGCGAACACAAAUUUAAAAAUAAAUGUGAAGAAGAAGUUCUGAAAUAUUGCGAUCAGUCUAUACCUCUUCCGUUUAAUGAUGCAUAUGAACAAAAUAAAUGGUUGAAUUCUAUUAAAAUAGGUGAAGGGGCUUAUGGAGAAGUAUUUCUUUGUUCAAGAAAUCAAAACAGAUUGGAAAAACACAUCUCCAAUAUAGUUUUAAAGAUUAUACCUUUAGAGGGUCCUACUGAAAUUAAUGGAGAAAAGCAAAAAACAUUCAGACAAAUUUUACCAGAAAUAAUUAUUACUACAAAAAUGAGCAGCCUUCAAGCAAACAAAAUUAAUUCUACGGAUGGAUUUGUAAGCAUACACAAGGAGGGCCAACAAUAUUGUUUGCAAAUAAUGUUAUUUAAUUUAAUUACUUAAGUGGUCAAAGUGUAGUAAAAAAGUAAUUGCAAACAUCGAAAUUAAAACUGUGAAAAAGGUGACAGCUCUAGAUUUUCUCAAGGACUCCCAUUUCUGCCUUUUCUUGGCUUCAAAGCAAGCAAUGGCAAAUAUAAAAGGCAUUUUCACGUUGUCUGAUUUUGACAAAUAAAAUAAAACAGGCGUUUGAGCAGCAAGAAGCGAUGAGAAAUAAAACAUUCCGAUAGCAAAUCGAUACAAAAAAUUUUGCGAAAACCAGAGCACCUAAAAACAAAAUUGUACGAUUUGGCCGAAAUCGAAAAAAUCUUACGAUUACCGGAGCAUGCCUGAAUAUCAGAAAUGUCAACUAAAUAAGGGAAUAUGCAAAUAAAGUUGGCCCUGGAUUUCUGGAAUUGAUAAUGCAUGCAGAUUCAGCCUUUAAGGCCUGAAAGAGCGAUACCCAUUUAGCCUUGCAGCCGAUUGCAAGAAGCAAGAUCGCUACGUUGAGACGUUCGGGACGAGGAAAGCCUCCGAACUGAGACACAAGUAGCUGAGGUCCUUUAAGACAAAUAACGUUGGCCCGACGAGUCCGAAAGCAUUUAAACAGGUGGGUCCAAUCCUAUCAAGGACCCGAGUACGCGGCGGGACUGUAGUGAAGACCACUCCGACUGUGUCGGAGAUUCCGUAUCACUAGUCAAAGGAAACUACCCACAACAUUUUAUAAAAUUAUGGGAAAAGUAUGAUAACGAAAAGGGAUCUGAGAACGACCAUCCGCGACUUUUUGGAGACAAUCAACUUUUUGUCAUCCUAGAACUGAAGUUUGCAGGAAGUGACAUGGCGAAUUUUCCAUUUUUAAAUUCAGAACAAUCAUAUUACGCUUUACUACAGAUUAUUCUAGCGCUUGCUGUUGGUGAAGAAGAGUAUCAAUUUGAGCACAGGGAUCUUCAUUUGGGAAACAUAUUGAUUGAAUACACCAAUAAGAAGCACAUAAUUUUUACAUUAAAAAACACUCAUUUAACUGUGCUUUCAAAAGGAGUGAACAUGACUAUUAUUGACUAUACUCUUUCAAGAAUAACCAUUGAUAGCUGCUGCUAUUUUAAUGACCUCUCAAGUGAUGAGGAACUUUUUCAGGCAACAGGAGAUUAUCAAUACGAUGUUUAUCGACUGAUGCGGAAUGAAUUGAAGAACAACUGGUCAUUGUUUUCACCAAAAACAAAUAUUCUAUGGCUGUCAUAUGUUAUCGCUAAGUUAUUAGAUAGCGUGAAAUAUAAAAAUAUCAAUACAAAGGUUCACAGGAUGUACAUUGACAAAAUAAAGGAAUUGCAAAACAUUAUAAUGACAUUUGAAAGUGCUACUCAUUGCGCUACUUAUAUGUUUAAUUUAAAUUAAGAUGUAUGUAU